UAACGAUCUUUUUAACACGUU
rnacentral:piRNA from 1 species